rnacentral:rRNA from 1 species
AACGAACGCUGGCGGCAGGCUUAACACAUGCAAGUCGAACGGCUGUAGCAAUACAGCAGUGGCAGACGGGUGAGUAACACGUGGGAACCUUCCUCGUAGUACGGAACAACUCAGGGAAACUUGAGCUAAUACCGUAUACGCCCCCGGACUUGAUCCGGGGGGAAAGAUUUAUCGCUAUGAGACGGGCCCGCGCCGGAUUAGGUAGUUGGUGGGGUAACGGCCUACCAAGCCGACGAUCCGUAGCUGANCUGAGAGGAUGAUCAGCCACACUGGACUGAGACACGGCCCAGACUCCGUACGGGAGGCAGCAGGUGGGGAAUUCUUGCGCAAGUGGGACGAAAGCCUGACGCAGCGACGCCGCGUGAGG